UACGUAGGGUGCAAGCGUUGUCCGGAAUUAUUGGGCGUAAAGGGCUCGUAGGCGGUUUGUCGCGUCUGCCGUGAAAACCCGAGGCUUAACCUCGGGCCUGCGGUGGAUACGGGCAGACUAGAGGUAGGUAGGGGAGAAUGGAAUUCCCGGUGUAGCGGUGAAAUGCGCAGAUAUCGGGAGGAACACCGGUGGCGAAGGCGGUUCUCUGGGCCUUACCUGACGCUGAGGAGCGAAAGCGUGGGGAGCGAACAGG
rnacentral:rRNA from 1 species